GCAAUGUAAUCAAGCUAUGUUCUCAAACUGAAAAUUACGUGAAAAUACUCGGUUAUAAGACACACCCGAAAAUUGAGAGUUAUCCAAAGGAUGUGAUGAAUUUGAGAACAAUUAUCCUUACACAAUUGGCAUGCGAACUCUGUUUGUUAACGUAAACAAAAGUGGGAAAGCAUGCAUUUAAUGAUAUACGUAAAAACAAAAGCAAAAAGUUUACACCUGUAAUGA